rnacentral:rRNA from 1 species
UCGGGAAUUUUGGGCAAUGGGCGCAAGCCUGACCCAGCAACGCCGCGUGAAGGAUGGAAUUUUUCGGAAUGUAAACUUCGCAAGAACGGGAAGAAUAAGUAGGGGAUAAUACCCCCUAUGAUGACGGUACCGUUUGUAAGCUCCGGCUAACUCCGUGCCAGCAGCCGCGGUAAUACGGGGGGAGCAAGCGUUGUUCGGAUUUACUGGGCGUAAAGGGCGCGUAGGCGGCGUGACAAGUCACUUGUGAAAUCUCCGGGCUUAACUCGGAACGGUCAAGUGAUACUGUCGUGCUAGAGUACAGAAGGGGCAACUGGAAUUCUCGGUGUAGCGGUGAAAUGCGUAGAUAUCGAGAGGAACACCUGCGGCGAAGGCGGGUUGCUGGGCUGAUACUGACGCUGAGGCGCGAAAGCUAGGGGAGCGAACGG